AGCCGAAAAAAACACUGCUUCGUUUUCCUCAGUCAGGAGAUUGUCCCUGACUGAGGAAAACGAAGCAGUGUUUUUUUCGGCUC
rnacentral:pre_miRNA from 1 species